rnacentral:rRNA from 1 species
AUUGAACGCUGGCGGCAGGCCUAACACAUGCAAGUCGAACGAGUGGCGGACGGGUGCGUAAUGUCUGGGAAACUGCCUGAUGGAGGGGGAUAACUACUGGAAACGGUAGCUAAUACCGCAUACCAUCAGAUCUGCCCAGAUGGGAUUAGCUUGUUGGUGGGGUAACGGCUCACCAAGGCGACGAUCCCUAGCUGGUCUGAGAUGCUGACCAGCCACACUGGAAAUGAGACACGGUCCAGACUCCUACGGGAGGGAGCAGUGGGGAAUAUUGGCCAAUGGGCGAAAGCCGGAUCCAGCCACGCCGCGUGAGUGAAGAAGGUCUUCGGAUUGUAAAGCUCUGUAAGUUGAGAGGCGUUACCAACAGAAUAAGCACCGGCUAACUGCGUGCCAGCAGCCGCGGUAAUAC